CGAGGAAUAUUGGGCAAUGCCCGCAAGGGUGACCCAGCAACGCCGCGUGGAGGAUGAAUGUCGUAAGAUUGUAAACUCCUGUUAGAGGGGAAGAAUAGUACCGGUUGGACCGGUAUAUGACUGUACCCUCAGAGAAAGCCCCGGCUAACUACGUGCCAGCAGCCGCGGUAAUACGUAGGGGGCAAGCGUUGUCCGGAUUUACUGGGUGUAAAGGGCGCGCAGGCGGGAUAAAAAGUCAGUGGUGAAAUCCUACAGCUUAACUGUAGAACUGCCUUUGAUACUUUUAUUCUUGAGUUCGGGAGAGAGAGACGGAAUUCCAGGUGCAGUGGUGAAAUACGUAGAUAUCUGGAAGAACACCAGUUGCGAAGGCGGUCUCUUGGUCCGACACUGACGCUGAGGCGCGAAAGCGUGGGGAGCAAACA
rnacentral:rRNA from 1 species